rnacentral:rRNA from 1 species
UACGUAGGUGGCAAGCGUUUGUCCGGAAUUAUUGGGCGUAAAGGGCUCGCAGGCGGUCUUCUAAGUCUGAUGUGAAAUCUUGCGGCUUAACCGCAAGCGGUCAUUGGAAACUGGAGGACUUGAGUACAGAAGAGGAGAGUGGAAUUCCACGUGUAGCGGUGAAAUGCGUAGAGAUGUGGAGGAACACCAGUGGCGAAGGCGACUCUCUGGUCUGUAACUGACGCUGAGGAGCGAAAGCGUGGGGAGCGAACAGG